rnacentral:rRNA from 1 species
GAUGAACGCUGGCGGCGUGCCUAAUACAUGCAAGUCGAGCGAACAGACGAGGAGCUUGCUCCUCUGACGUUAGCGGCGGACGGGUGAGUAACACGUGGAUAACCUACCUAUAAGACUGGGAUAACUUCGGGAAACCGGAGCUAAUACCGGAUAAUAUAUUGAACCGCAUGGUUCAAUAGUGAAAGACGGUUUUGCUGUCACUUAUAGAUGGAUCCGCGUCGCAUUAGCUAGUUGGUAAGGUAACGGCUUACCAAGGCAACGAUGCGUAGCCGACCUGAGAGGGUGAUCGGCCACACUGGAACUGAGACACGGUCCAGACUCCUACGGGAGGCAGCAGUAGGGAAUCUUCCGCAAUGGGCGAAAGCCUGACGGAGCCACGCCGCGUGAGUGAUGAAGGUCUUCGGAUCGUAAAACUCUUUUAUUAGGGAAGAACAAAUGUGUAAGUAACUAUGCACGUCUUGACGGUACCUAAUCAGAAAGCCACGGCUAACUACGUG